rnacentral:tRNA from 1 species
UCCCUACUAGUCCAGUGGACUGGGACUCUGCACUCCCAGUGCAGGGGGCCUGGGUUCAAUCCCUGGUCAGGGAA